UACGUAGGGGGCUAGCGUUGUCCGGAAUCAUUGGGCGUAAAGAGCGCGUAGGCGGCCAGAUAAGUCCGGUGUGAAAGUCACAGGCUCAACCUGUGAAUGCCGCUGGAAACUGUCUGGCUAGAGUCCGGGAGGGGCGAGUGGAAUUCCUGGUGUAGCGGUGAAAUGCGCAGAUAUCAGGAGGAACACCAAUGGCGAAGGCAGCUCGCUGGAACGGUACUGACGCUGAGGCGCGAAAGCCAGGGGAGCAAACGGG
rnacentral:rRNA from 1 species